rnacentral:tRNA from 1 species
GGGCCCUUAGUGUAGAGGCAUAACACGACUGCAUGGCAUGCAGUAGACGGCGGGUUCGAGUCCCGCAGGGUCCA